rnacentral:rRNA from 1 species
AAAGCGUGCGCAGGCGGUUAUGCAAGACAGAUGUGAAAUCCCCGGGCUCAACCUGGGAACUGCAUUUGUGACUGCAUGGCUAGAGUACGGUAGAGGGGGAUGGAAUUCCGCGUGUAGCAGUGAAAUGCGUAGAUAUGCGGAGGAACACCGAUGGCGAAGGCAAUCCCCUGGACCUGUACUGACGCUCAUGCACGAAAGCGUGGGGAGCAAACAGGAUUAGAUACCCGUGU